rnacentral:rRNA from 1 species
GUUAUAUGGUCAAGUGAAGAAGCGCAUACGGUGGAUGCCUUGGCAGUCAGAGGCGAUGAAAGACGUGGUAGCCUGCGAAAAGCUUCGGGGAGUCGGCAAACAGACUUUGAUCCGGAGAUGUCUGAAUGGGGGAACCCAGCCAUCAUAAGAUGGUUAUCUUGUACUGAAUACAUAGGUGCAAGAGGCGAACCAGGGGAACUGAAACAUCUAAGUACCCUGAGGAAAAGAAAUCAACCGAGAUUCCCUUAGUAGUGGCGAGCGAACGGGGACUAGCCCUUAAGUGGCUUUGAGAUUAGCGGAACGCUCUGGAAAGUGCGGCCAUAGUGGGUGAUAGCCCUGUACGCGAAAAUCUCUUGGUCAUGAAAUCGAGUAGGACGGAGCACGAGAAACUUUGUCUGAAUAUGGGGGACCAUCCUCCAAGGCUAAAUACUACUGACUGACCGAUAGUGAACUAGUACCGUGAGGGAAAGGCGAAAAGAACCCCGGAGAGGGGAGUGAAAUAGAUCCUGAAACCGUAUGCGUACAAGCAGUGGGAGCAGACUUUGUUCUGUGACUGCGUACCUUUUGUAUAAUGGGUCAGCGACUUAUUUUCAGUGGCGAGCUUAACCGAAUAGGGGAGGCGUAGCGAAAGCGAGUCUUAAUAGGGCGUCUAGUCGCUGGGAAUAGACCCGAAACCGGGCGAUCUAUCCAUGGGCAGGUUGAAGGUUGGGUAACACUAACUGGAGGACCGAACCGACUACCGUUGAAAAGUUAGCGGAUGACCUGUGGAUCGGAGUGAAAGGCUAAUCAAGCUCGGAGAUAGCUGGUUCUCCUCGAAAGCUAUUUAGGUAGCGCCUCAUGUAUCACUGUAGGGGGUAGAGCACUGUUUCGGCUAGGGGGUCAUCCCGACUUACCAAACCGAUGCAAACUCCGAAUACCUACAAGUGCCGAGCAUGGGAGACACACGGCGGGUGCUAACGUCCGUCGUGAAAAGGGAAACAACCCAGACCGUCAGCUAAGGUCCCAAAGUUAUGGUUAAGUGGGAAACGAUGUGGGAAGGCUUAGACAGCUAGGAGGUUGGCUUAGAAGCAGCCACCCUUUAAAGAAAGCGUAAUAGCUCACUAGUCGAGUCGGCCUGCGCGGAAGAUGUAACGGGGCUCAAACCAUACACCGAAGCUACGGGUAUCAUCUUCGGAUGAUGCGGUAGAGGAGCGUUCUGUAAGCCUGUGAAGGUGAGUUGAGAAGCUUGCUGGAGGUAUCAGAAGUGCGAAUGCUGACAUGAGUAACGACAAUGGGUGUGAAAAACACCCACGCCGAAAGACCAAGGUUUCCUGCGCAACGUUAAUCGACGCAGGGUUAGUCGGUCCCUAAGGCGAGGCUGAAAAGCGUAGUCGAUGGAAAACAGGUUAAUAUUCCUGUACUUCUGGUUAUUGCGAUGGAGGGACGGAGAAGGCUAGGCCAGCUUGGCGUUGGUUGUCCAAGUUUAAGGUGGUAGGCUGAGAUCUUAGGUAAAUCCGGGAUCUUAAGGCCGAGAGCUGAUGACGAGUUACCCUUUGGGUGACGAAGUGGUUGAUGCCAUGCUUCCAAGAAAAGCUUCUAAGCUUCAGGUAACCAGGAACCGUACCCCAAACCGACACAGGUGGUUGGGUAGAGAAUACCAAGGCGCUUGAGAGAACUCGGGUGAAGGAACUAGGCAAAAUGGCACCGUAACUUCGGGAGAAGGUGCGCCGGUGAGGGUGAAGGACUUGCUCCGUAAGCUCAUGCCGGUCGAAGAUACCAGGCCGCUGCGACUGUUUAUUAAAAACACAGCACUCUGCAAACACGAAAGUGGACGUAUAGGGUGUGACGCCUGCCCGGUGCCGGAAGGUUAAUUGAUGGGGUUAGCUAACGCGAAGCUCUUGAUCGAAGCCCCGGUAAACGGCGGCCGUAACUAUAACGGUCCUAAGGUAGCGAAAUUCCUUGUCGGGUAAGUUCCGACCUGCACGAAUGGCGUAACGAUGGCGGCGCUGUCUCCACCCGAGACUCAGUGAAAUUGAAAUCGCUGUGAAGAUGCAGUGUAUCCGCGGCUAGACGGAAAGACCCCGUGAACCUUUACUAUAGCUUUGCACUGGACUUUGAAUUUGCUUGUGUAGGAUAGGUGGGAGGCUUUGAAGCGUGGACGCCAGUUCGCGUGGAGCCAUCCUUGAAAUACCACCCUGGCAACUUUGAGGUUCUAACUCAGGUCCGUUAUCCGGAUCGAGGACAGUGUAUGGUGGGUAGUUUGACUGGGGCGGUCUCCUCCUAAAGAGUAACGGAGGAGUACGAAGGUGCGCUCAGACCGGUCGGAAAUCGGUCGUAGAGUAUAAAGGCAAAAGCGCGCUUGACUGCGAGACAGACACGUCGAGCAGGUACGAAAGUAGGUCUUAGUGAUCCGGUGGUUCUGUAUGGAAGGGCCAUCGCUCAACGGAUAAAAGGUACCCGGGGAUAACAGGCUGAUACCGCCCAAGAGUUCAUAUCGACGGCGGUGUUUGGCACCUCGAUGUCGGCUCAUCACAUCCUGGGGCUGAAGCCGGUCCCAAGGGUAUGGCUGUUCGCCAUUUAAAGUGGUACGCGAGCUGGGUUUAGAACGUCGUGAGACAGUUCGGUCCCUAUCUGCCGUGGACGUUUGAGAUUUGAGAGGGGCUGCUCCUAGUACGAGAGGACCGGAGUGGACGAACCUCUGGUGUUCCGGUUGUCACGCCAGUGGCAUUGCCGGGUAGCUAUGUUCGGGAAAGAUAACCGCUGAAAGCAUCUAAGCGGGAAACUUGCCUCAAGAUGAGAUCUCACUGGAACCUUGAGUUCCCUGAAGGGCCGUCGAAGACUACGACGUUGAUAGGUUGGGUGUGUAAGCGCUGUGAGGCGUUGAGCUAACCAAUACUAAUUGCCCGUGAGGCUUGACCAUAUAACACCCAAGCAAUU